CCAUCCUGCUGGCUGUCUUGGCUUGUGCCAUAGCCGAUCGCAGCCUCUCCCAGCUGGAGAGGUUGUGCGGGGCUAAAGAGGAAGUGCACGGCUAUGGCACAAGCCAAGACAGCCAGCAGGAUGG